GUGAAGCGGAGGAGGGGAGAGACAACGUUGUCCCGCAACUACAACAUACAGGUAGAAGUAGUAUGACUUCUGAGCUGCAAUUGGAUAACGUCAACGUCUCUGAUAACGGUUCGCAUCAAGAAUCUUGGAGGUUUUGCGCCAUCUAGAGGCUAUUGGCUAUAAACAUUACAAAAGUACUAGGCCUACAGAGAGUAUUCCUCAAAAUGUAGCCUAUGUAUAGAAAAUUCAGCGAAACUUCUGUUCAUCACCACACUGGCCACUCCUUUUAGAUCGGGCAGACAUUCCUUAUCGCCAGGAUGAAGAAGUUCAAAAUCUCGCAGCAGUGCCCUAUAUACAGGGAGAUGAGUGACCGUAGACUCACCUGCUAUUCCUGAUGGCUCUGUGAGGCACAGCCAGUGGGGCUACAGGUCUCAGUCUGAGCACCUCACUGAUGAGAGCAGACAGUACCUCUGGUCUGUGGAGGAGGAAAGCCACAGUCCAGCUCAGCCAGGCCGCUGUGGUCUCCGUCCCACCAAUUAACAGAUCCAC